AUUGAACGCUGGCGGCAGGCCUAACACAUGCAAGUCGAGCGGAUGAAGGGAGCUUGCUCCUGGAUUCAGCGGCGGACGGGUGAGUAAUGCCUAGGAAUCUGCCUGGUAGUGGGGGAUAACGUCCGGAAACGGGCGCUAAUACCGCAUACGUCCUGAGGGAGAAAGUGGGGGAUCUUCGGACCUCACGCUAUCAGAUGAGCCUAGGUCGGAUUAGCUAGUUGGUGGGGUAAAGGCCUACCAAGGCGACGAUCCGUAACUGGUCUGAGAGGAUGAUCAGUCACACUGGAACUGACACGGUCCAGACUCCUACGGGAGGCAGCAGUGGGGAAUAUUGGGCAAUGGGCGAAAGCCUGAUCCAGCCAUGCCGCGUGUGUGAAGAAGGUCUUCGGAUUGUAAAGCACUUUAAGUUGGGAGGAAGGGCAGUAAGUUAAUACCUUGCUGUUUUGACGUUACCAACAGAAUAAGCACCGGCUAACUUCGUG
rnacentral:rRNA from 1 species